GACGAACCGUGCGAACGUUGUUCGGAAUCACUGGGCUUAAAGGGCGCGUAGGUGGUUUGCCAAGUCGGGGUUGAAAUCUUUCGGCUCAACCGGAAAAGUGGCUUCGAUACUGGCAAGCUGGAGGGAGGUAGGGGCGGAUGGAACUUCCAGGUGGAGCGGUGAAAUGUGUUGAUAUCGGAAGGAACGCCGGUGGCGAAGGCGGCAUCCUGGACCGGCAUUGACGCUGAGGCGCGAAAGCCAGGGGAGCAAACGGG
rnacentral:rRNA from 1 species